rnacentral:tRNA from 1 species
GGCCUCGUAGUUAAACGGAUAGAACAUCGGCCUCCGAAGCCGAAAAUACAGGUUCAAUUCCUGUCGAGGUCA